AUGGCUUCACUAUGAGAUGGACCUGCGUUGUAUUAGCUAGUUGGUGAGGUAACGGCUCACCAAGGCGACGAUACAUAGCCGACCUGAGAGGGUGAUCGGCCACACUGGGACUGAGACACGGCCCAGACUCCUACGGGAGGCAGCAGUAGGGAAUCUUCGGCAAUGGACGGAAGUCUGACCGAGCAACGCCGCGUGAGUGAAGAAGGUUUUCGGAUCGUAAAGCU
rnacentral:rRNA from 1 species